rnacentral:lncRNA from 10 species
UAAGAAGAAAGAGGUACAGAGAAGGAAUCAGAAAGAAAAGGAAAGAAGGAAAUCAAAAUAGAAAAGAGAAAAGGUGGGAAAGAGAGACAAAAGAGAAACAUUAGAGAGAAGAAAAGACAGCCAAAAAAGAAACAGCCCGAAUUUAUAGGAGAUGCAGAUGAAAUCCGUUCCAGACCUCCAAGGAAAAUUAGCCUUUCUCUGACACACUCCUCAAAAUCCUUCCAGACUUGACCCACUAUUCACCACGGCAGCACAUCACCUCCAGUGUCACAAUCAAUGUGCUGUGACGGACAUCUCAA